CCCGAUCCCAUCUCGAACUCGGAAGUGAAAAUGCUUAGCGCCGAUGAUAGUGUGGGGUCUCCCCAUGUGAAAGUAGGUCACUGCCAGGC
rnacentral:rRNA from 1 species